GGGGCUAUAGCUCAGCUGGGAGAGCGCUUCGCUGGCAGCGCGAAGAGGUCAUCGGUUCGAUCCCGAUUAGCUCCACCA
rnacentral:tRNA from 1 species